GAUGAACGCUGGCGGCGUGCCUAAUACAUGCAAGUCGAGCGAACAGACGAGGAGCUUGCUCCUCUGACGUUAGCGGCGGACGGGUGAGUAACACGUGGAUAACCUACCUAUAAGACUGGGAUAACUUCGGGAAACCGGAGCUAAUACCGGAUAACAUGUUGAACCGCAUGGUUCAACAGUGAAAGACGGUCUUGCUGUCACUUAUAGAUGGAUCCGCGCCGCAUUAGCUAGUUGGUAAGGUAACGGCUUACCAAGGCAACGAUGCGUAGCCGACCUGAGAGGGUGAUCGGCCACACUGGAACUGAGACACGGUCCAGACUCCUACGGGAGGCAGCAGUAGGGAAUCUUCCGCAAUGGGCGAAAGCCUGACGGAGCAACGCCGCGUGAGUGAAGAAGGUCUUCGGAUCGUAAAACUCUGUUAUUAGGGAAGAACAAAUGUGUAAGUAACUAUGCACGUCUUGACGGUACCCAAUCAGAAAGCCACGGCUAACUACGUG
rnacentral:rRNA from 1 species